rnacentral:rRNA from 1 species
UACGUAGGGUGCAAGCGUUGUCCGGAAUUACUGGGCGUAAAGCGCACGUAGGCGGCUUUGCAAGUUAGAGGUGAAAGCCCGGGGCUCAACUCCGGAAUUGCCUUUAAAACUGCAUCGCUAGAGUUGUGGAGAGGUAAGUGGAAUUCCGAGUGUAGAGGUGAAAUUCGUAGAUAUUCGGAAGAACACCAGUGGCGAAGGCGACUUACUGGACACAUACUGACGCUGAGGUGCGAAAGCGUGGGGAGCAAACAGG